UACAGAGGGGGCAAGCGUUGUCCGGAAUUAUUGGGCGUAAAGAGCGUGUAGGCGGCUAGGUAGGUCCGUUGUGAAAACUCGAGGCUCAACCUCGGGACGCCGAUGGAAACCAUCUAGCUAGAGUCCGGAAGAGGAGAGUGGAAUUCCUGGUGUAGCGGUGAAAUGCGCAGAUAUCAGGAAGAACACCCGUGGCUAAGGCGGCUCUCUAGUACGGUACUGACGCUGAGACGCGAAAGCGUGGGGAGCGAACAGG
rnacentral:rRNA from 1 species